rnacentral:lncRNA from 1 species
UUCAUCAAACCUCUCAUUAACAUCUUCCAAGUCAUCGGAUUCAGACUCACCAUCUUCCGUAAAUAUAGACAGGUCUUCAUCAUCCUGUGUCAUUACCAGGUGGACCCCGAAGCUUUUAAAACGCAGCGAAUCUUCUGCCCAAGUCGGAAAAUUAACUCGACACGCAAAAGGCGACUUCGGCCAGGUAAUCUGAUCAUCCCGGUAAAACAUUUCUCUGAACUGAAUAUAGCACAGCCACACAUGACCUGACCCUAUCUUUUUGAAAUAGUAAUUGCACUGAAUAAAAUAAGGUUCCACUCCUGGUUGAUUGAUGGAAAUUUUUGGUACAAAACCAUGGAAACGUCGUCUUUUGUUUUGGGGGUUUUCAACAGCAGCGUAUAGAGCCAAUCCUUGGUUCUGGCAUUUGAAGUUUGGAGGGAUUUGAAUCAAAAAUUUACAUGCGUUAUCACGCUCCUUCACAUCCUUAUGACAGCUGAACAACGUCGAGAAAACUUCAAAACUUGCUGGAAAUACAACCUGAAAUCCAUGUUUCUGUGAAGACAGAAGGUGAUCAAAGAAGAGAGUGAUCUGCUCCUUUGCUAAAAUGUUAUGCUUCUUUGUGAGGUCACGAGCCAGAUUGCCGCACAGUCUCUGGCAAUUACCCAAGUCCACCAACUCAAUCAUUUGUAAGUCUUUUUUACCUUUCAGAAUGUUGGACAACGAUGAAAACCUUUCCAAUGAUACGCAAUCACUCGCCCCUAACUUUACUAUUUUUGGUGGAAGUUCCGGAAUAUCUCGAAGCCUCUUGCAGCCAUGCAAGUAAAGAUCCCGCAAAUUGACAAAUUUCGUAAUGCAUUUGGGAAUACUUACAAGGAAAUCACUUCGUCUUAGAUCAAGUACGUUCAAUGUAGACACACAAUCAAGAGUCCUCAGGAAAUUAAAUUCUGAUAAAUUGUUUCCUUCCAACUUGAAUUCCGCAAGACUGGGAAGCGCUAAAGUAUGUGAUACUGGACUCCCCAAAACUUCAGACUUCACUUUAUUUGGAAAUCUAACAAGCUUUCGACUUCCUUGGAGACAAAUUUCAUUUAGAUGUUCCAACUCAUAAAUGCUGGAUGGCAGAUUCGUCAGAUUUUCACAAAUGCUUAUGUCUAAAAAUUCAAGACUGACGAGAUAUGCAAUUGACGCAGGCAAUUCUUUGAUGCCACUACCACAUAGAAACAAGUGACGUAAGGAAUCCAUCUUCCCCCCAAUUUCAGGGAAAGUCUCCAGUCUUCUGCAAUAUACAAGAUAGAGAACUUCUAGAGAUUUUGACUUGAUUAUUGGAAAUAGUGUGAGGUUAUGGCAACUCUGAAGACUCAAUUUCACAAGCUUAUCAUGAAAUCCAACAGAAGGAUGAACCUCAACUAAACUUGUGCAGUCGUCUAGAUUCAAGGACUGUAAGUUUGGAAUUCCAGAGAUAUUUGGGCUUUUUGUUAGGAAUUCACAGCUCUUAAAAUUCAUGGACGUCAAAUUUUGCAAACGCUAUAUAAGACAAAAAUAGAAAAUAAAAAGAAGGAUCAAACGGUAAGGCAUAAACAAGUUCAAGCCAUAACUCCAAAAACAUAAUAAACUUUUGAAAAUACGAAGGGAUGAAAAUAAUUUAAAUUACCUUGAAUCCCUCCCCAAGUUGUGACAAGCGGCUAUAAGGCAUAUAAAGUUCAACAAGUUUCCUUGGAUUGAAAGUAGAUGGUAAAGUUUGUAGAGGACAAUUAGGCCAAUGAAGAAACCUCAACUCAUUAGAUAGAUAAUCCACGUGAUCGCCACUAAAUCGUGCAUUCACAUUGAUGAAAAGUCGAAGGUUUUUCAUCUUUGAGAAGCUGUCACCACUCAAGCAUAUGUCAUCUGGUGUCGGAAACUUUGCUAUGAUGCCUUUAAUAUUAUUUGUUCCCUAUUAUCAAAAAGCAGUAGUGUAAACAUACAAAGCUCUUUAGCAAAUAAAAAUGCAAGUGUACACAUCACACAACAGACUUACUGUUCCUUCUGUUAGAACACGAUAAACAUCCUCGUGAAACCACAAUCUGCUACGUUCACCAGGCUCAUUUGGCGACUGUAGAUAAACUAUUCCUCUACCCAAUUCUUCAAGCAAGUCAUGCAUCCCAAUUAUGCCUCGUUCAAUAUUUAUGAGGGCCUUGUCUACGAGUACUUUAAUAGCAUACUUAGGCUUGAGGUCACAACCUUCCAGGAUCGGUAUCACAUGGUUCACCUUUCUACCGUUAAAGAAACAUGCUAUGUCAAGGAAAACUUCUUGCACUGAAUAUUCCAAUGCAUCAUAGCUUAUUUUGAGAGUUUUUUUAAUGUCCGGGUGCAGAUUCCCAUCCAAUGCAUCAUGCCACUCAUCUAUACUUCUACCACAUAGAUGAGAACCUAAAACCUUGAGAGCUAAAGGAAGACCUUGAGCAUGCUUCAGCACAGUUUCUGCAGCUUUCACAUAAUCAUCAUCCAAAUUUUUAUUUCUCCCACCAUUCCAACUAAUGAAGAGAUCAAGAGAUUCACCAAAGUUUAAUUUCUUGGCCUUAUAUAUAAUACUAACUUGAUGAGAAGUUAGCAAAUGCUUAUCUCUUGUCGUUAUGAUGAUUCUACUGCCCAAACCAAACCAAUCACAACCUCCAACUAAGUUGUUUAAUUGGUCCAAAUGAUCCACAUCAUCUACAAUUACAAGGACCUUUUUACCACUCAACCUUUCCUUUAUCACACUGAUUCCUUUAUCGGCACUGGUAACCUUUAUUUCCUUUCCCCUUAGAAUCUCAUCAAGAAGAAGAUUUUGUAGGUCGACUAGGCCUCCAUAUGGUAUUGAUCUUUCUCUUACUUUUUCCAGAAAACAACUCCCUUCAAACACAUGGGCCAGUGAGUUAUAAACAGCUUUAGCAACAGUUGUCUUUCCUAUUCCAGCAGUCCCCCAUAUUCCUACCAUGCGAACAUCAUUUCCGUCAACAUCUAAAACUUUAUGAAGAUCUCGUACACGAGCCUGUAUUCCGACUUGGUAUUUUGCCACAUUGAUAUGGGUAUCAUUUAAUACUUGUAAGGAAAUCUCGUUGACAAUGUUCUGAAUAAAUUCAGUUUCACGGCUGCCAAUUUCAAGCACAAACAACAAUUAAAUCAAAUGGGAUUUUUCUAUAUAUGUUAUAAAGAAGUGCUCGAUACUAAUGUCAAUUAUGUCAUGAAUCUAUAUAUAUAAAGCAAAAAAUAGAGAAUAAUGAAACAUUCAAAAUACCAUAAAAUGUCAUUGGUUAAUGUAAACAUUUUAACAGAAAUAUAUUGAAAAUGUCUAUUACUCUAGAGAUUUCUACCAAAUGUCCAUCACAUUUUAACAGUUAAAAUAACAGAUUCUGCAACCCUGGGAGAAAUAAAUUGAAAUUAAAGCAGAGCCUCAGAAAAGAAAAAAAUAAUAACGGAUCCUAAAUGUAUAUUAAAGACAGAAAUAUACCGCAUCAGAAAAGGAAAAAAAUAUAAAUAAUAAUAAAUAAAUAAAUAAAACAUACCCCUCCAAGUAAUGCGACCCAGACAAAUUUGCAGCUUCUGUAAGGGUUUCCUUCCAUCUCAGAACCUUCUUCAUAUUGUCCUCGAAUUUACUUUCAUCAUGGUUAGUAAGUUUCUGUUCUUUGAAUUUGCGUUCAUGGUUAUUCAGUGCCUCGCCAUAACUACCUCUUUGGUUCCUUACAUCUGAGGGAUCCACUUUGUAGAAAACUGGCCAAACCAUCUGUUGCUUUGAUUUUCUACACUGAAUGAUAUGAACAAGUUCAUCCAAGCACCACUUCGAGGAUGCAUAUUUUUCAGAGAAUACGAUGAUGGAACACCUCGAUCCUUCAAUUGCAUCAAGAAGUGCUUGUGAUAUUUCCUCUCCUCUUGGGAGCUCAUCAUCUAUGAAGGUUCUGAUGCCCCUCUGGACCAAAUUUUUGUGCAGAUGGUCUGUGAAAUUGUAGCGUGUGUCCUCACCUCUAAAGCUGAGAAACACAUCGUGGGUCCAUGAAUUGGUGAAAGAAGAAGAAGAAGAAGAAGGGGAAGGAGCUCCUAAUAAUUGAGUGGUGUCUAGAUCCAUAUUGUUGAAAAUUGAACAGGCUGAAAGGGUUGGAAAUUAUAGUGAUUUAUUGUCCGAGAGUCUCUGGUUGGCAAUGUCAGUGGGGAGACGAAUCAUGUGAGUGAAAAGUCUUCGUCUUUCUCGGCCCCAAGAGCCCCUACCUCUGCUGGGUCUCUCUAGACCCGAGGGACAGUUUUAAAUUUUUUUAAUUUUUAAUUUUAUAUAAUUAUUUAAUCAAUAAAAUAAAACUAGUUUGUUACUCUUUCAAAAGGUUUCCGUGAAUGGCGGGAAGAAGAACCACCUUCAUUAGUGGUUGAAUCCAUUUGAUUGCAGAAAAGGAUGUUGGGAAAGGCUACUUUCCUUUGUUAUAUAUUAGGUGUUUACUCAGUGCUCCGCCAUUUGCUUGUAUUAAAAAUAAAAUUAGGCCAUCCCAUCUGCGAAGUAGUUUCCUCUGUCAUUUUCAGAGUGGAUGAGAAGUCAAAAGGUGAAUAUUAUAAAACAGAAGACUGCAUUUUUGUUGCAACGUACGGUUGUUUCGCAAUUCAGAAGUAACGUAGAAGUUCGGCGUGUAGGAAAAAAAGACAAAAUGCGUAGAUGAUGAAGAUGCAUAAAAUAACCUCCUCUAAAUAUUUUGUUAGAAGACAAAACUUUGUUUCUUUUCCUUUUUUCUUAUUAUAUGACCUAAUAUUUGAAAAAUAAUAUUGAUUCCUUUAUCGACAAAAUGGCCUAAUUAUUUACAGAAUUUAAAUAAAUUUUUAUAAUAAAAAUUGAUUUUAAUCCCCACUUGAUACACGCACAUAGGACACGCUUAGGAUAUUCAUUAGGAAAUAAAAUCAAUAGGAUCCAAAAUUUGGUGUUUAUAGGAUAUAGGAUGAUAAGCUAAAUUCAAUAGUCUCAAUACGAACUCAAUAUCACUCAAACUCACUAUGCAACACAUUUCAUUCAAUUCUUUUGUGCCAAAAUAAUUGACUACUCGAACAUCUUCUAAAAGUUUCAUUACGUCCAUGGAGUAUAACUCAGUUGAUUGAGCUCUUUCACCUCCACUUAUGUGGGCAAAAGUUCGAGACACCUAGGCACCCAAUGAAUAUUUGUGUAAACCACUCUCCCCCAAUCACUUGUGCUAUAAAAAUAUAUAAAAAAAUAAUUACAAAUUCCCAUGUUUUUCUUAUCAUUUCCAUUGUUUUUUUAAUCUAGUUUUUAUCAAUAUCAAUAAUUUUUCACAGAUAUUUCCAAAUUUUUAGACCACUAAUAUUUUUGAAACUCUAAAUGCCUGUUUGGCAUUGUUUAUUUGGAGCAAAAAUCACUUUCUUAAAAAGUUUUCUUCCACCUAGCUGUUUGGUAAAUGAAAAAAUAAUCUGAUUAUAUGAAUAAUUGCUGUCAGCCACAGUGAUUUGAGGAAGCUGGUCAGGGGGUGAUUUUAUUUCCGCUUAUGCGGAAAGAGGGUGGGGAACCGGUGCUCUUUAAUGAAUGUUUUAAAAAUGCCCAGAUUAUUCUCAUUGGCUUUUGAAAAUGACAUCCACUAUCGUCUUCAUUUGAUCAUGUAUUCUUGAAUCGCUGCUUCCUCUCCUCUCACGUUACAUAGUGAGUUCAGUUCUUCUUCUUCUUCUCUUCACACCUUUCUUCUUUAAUUUGUCUCCAAGAUUCCUACAACCCCAGAUCUAAAGUUUGUUUCUUAUCUUUUUUCAUUCUGGAUUUGGGGCAGUUAGUCCUUUCUGAUGGUCCAAUCCUGAUAGUCACGUUUCUAGUUCUCAACAAAGAACAAAUCUUAAUGGUCCUUCAAAUCAACGGAUUGGAUCCAGUAUCAAUUUCAUCAUUUUGGGUUUUCAGUGCAACAGAGUGAUAAAAGGUUUUCAGUGCAACAGAGUGAACAAAUCUUAUUGUUUUCUUGUGUUUGAUGGGCUGCAAUGAAUUUGUAGGUUGUAUCCCCUGUGUUCACUCUCUUUCUGGGUUUCUCUUGUUCUAGUCCUCAUUUGCAACUUUAUCCAAAUUAUUUUUUUAUAAAUUCUCUUGUUCUAGAACACUUUUAUUUUUAAUACUCAUUCUAAACUGGUUUCCUUCAAUCCUUUUUUCCGUUUUCAAAAUCAUUGGGUUUUCAAUAAUGAAAUGCUGUAUUAAUUGACGACAAACAAAACAAAACAAAACAAUGUAGGAUCAGCCCACAUAACGCAUCUGGAAGAAAGAGGCGAAGGGUGGUCAUAAUUUCUAAAUUUACUUCACAAUAAGGAAAGGAAUGCAUAUAUGCAAGUAUGACUGUAUGAGUAGCAACGUAUAUACUCGAUGGGAAUUGGCAUUUGGUUGUUGGCCAUGGAGUUAAAUGGUGUGAACAAAAAUUACUAAUGAAGAGGCAAGAGGGCACUGAAUACUGCAAUCGUGAUAGGAAGAUUUUGGGUUGUUAUUAUAUUCAUUUGUGAAUUACAAUAGUUGAGUUUUCAAUUGAUCAUAAUAUUCAGGUUUUAGGUAUUGAAAUUAAAAAUAAUAACCUCAUGCCCUUUCUAGUCACUAUACACAGUCCAAACACUUUUACACAAAAAUUUACCAAACAUUCGUAAACUUAAUAUUGUUUCAACAUCACUUUUAACAAAAAGUUUACCAAACGCCAAAUUGAUUUAUUUCACAGCUGAUUUCUCAUAUAGCAAAUUUAACCAUGAUUAUUUUCACAGCACAGCAAUGCCAAACUGACUACCUUACUUCUUACCCAAAAAAAUUGUCCUUACUUAUUGUAAAAUUAAUGAGACAAUAACUAUUUAUAACAAAAACCAUGAUUGCACUCAUAAUAUGCAUCAAUGUACAUCACAGAUGCAAAGUAGUUUCAUGUCAUCUUCAUAGUGGAUGUGAAGUCAAAGGGAAUAAGAAAAUGGUCAAAAGGAAACAACAACCAACCACAAAAGAAAAAGAAAAAAGAAGCAUCACUACACUUUCGUUGCAACAUGGUUAUUUAACAAGUAGUUGGGGGUGUGGAAAAAAAGACAAAAGGUCGAUUGAUGAUGAAGAUGACUAAAAUAGAUCAGGAUUGUCAAAAAUAACAUCUAUAAUUGUUAGAACACAAAAUUUUGUUAUUGGCGAGUCAGUUAAUUCAUAAUGUGUCAUGCUAUUAGAUAGAAAGGUAUUCGUAUAAUGUAUGUGAGUUUAGUAAAUUAUCGCCCCUCUCAAUAAGGGCUUGCAAGUAAUGAGACACAUAACCUAAUUAAAAGACAGGAUUGUAAUUAAACCGAUAUUUUGUUGAUUAAGAAUGAAUGCAAUUUUCAAAAAUAAUAUCAUGAACCCAUUCAAAUUGAGUGAGAGGGACUUCGUCGAUCUUUUCUUCUAGCAGAUCAAACUUGUUCAGUAUCAAAAUGAAGUCUUUAUAUGGUCAAUGACUGGAUAGUGAGCGUAUGGUGGAAUGUCUAGUUUUGGGGUGGGUGGUUUCAAUUGGGUUGCCACCAAAUAUAUACUACUAGAUAGUAACUUUUGAAUUAAUGAUGCCAAGGGCUUAAAUAAGAUGGAGUAUUUAAUCAAACUUCUUGUUUCAUGAUGCUAUAGUCAAUUGUUGCAUGACUAAUACCUUUUUUUUUUUUUUUUUUUUUUUAAUUUUAUGUUUUUUCGAAAAGGCAGAUUUCAUUCCAUUAGAAAGGAGGAAUAAUGGGCAUGUAAUACAUAGCCUCGUUAAAACCUUCCCGGAGAAACCACACGUGAAAAAUCCCGGAGUAAGAAAGAGUACCACAAAUGCUGAUGAAGUACACAACAAGAAAAAUUACAUUGCAUCACUAUUCCUCCUUUUUAGUUCAAGAGGUAUCUUUUUUUUUCUUUUUUUUUGGUGGUUUUCUUUGUGCAUGCUCUUGGGAUUUAUAGUACUUUACUCUGUUGUGAUCAAUGUUAUGUCUAGAGUACCCAAUGUUAUAUAACUCCCCCAUUGUAAUUUCUAUAACUCAUAACUCGCAAGAAAGAAUUCAACCUCCCCGUAGUUUAGAAAAUAACUAUUUAAUUAAAGAUUACAAUCUGGUUUGGUUAAGUUAACUGACUAUAUAUAUAUAUAGUAGCAACGGUGCCCACGCGAUGCUACAGGUUUUAAAACCCUGUGAAAUGUAUACAAAGUCGUGAAAAUAUGUAGGAAAUAUGGUACUAUUUAUAUAGACAUGGAGAUCUAAAUAGUGGCAUCUUUGUUUUGCAAGUUUAAUACUCCCAAAGAAAAAAUUAGCCAAACUACAGACGCAAAAAUGAAUCUUAAUCAAUUCCAAAUAAUAGAGGCAGUGUUCAAACUUAGAAAGAUAGAAGAACUAAAAUUCAGAUAAUGGAGGUAAUGUUCAAACUUUGAACAUCUCUAACAUGACAUCACCAAAUCAGUAAAUAUUACACAAAAUCAGUAUAAAAACACAUGAAGACAAAAAAAAAAAUAAAAAAAGCAAAUAUUAACAACAAUAGAUCAUUACACAAUUUAGGGUGACCCUAACAACAAUUGAGGAAUUGAUUGCUUUUGUUAGAGACCAAAGCAAGUGUUUCUAAAACAGGGAAUAAGAGCAUAAAAGUUUUUGAAUGUUGGAUGCCCAUUUUUUACUUUUCCUUCCUCUUCCUCUAUUUCCCGAGAAAGCAAAUAAACAGAAUCAGCCAAAUAUCACCACAAAUCAAAUGUAUGGUAAUUAAUUAAAUGCCAAAGUAAGAAGUGCCAAAGAAUCAUUGAGCAUAAAAUAAAAAAAAACCAAAAAUCUGAGUCACCACUUGUAGAAGAUUAGCCCUUUGCUGGCAGCUCCUUUCACUUACAAACUCCUUGGUGUUCCAGUGCCACAACAACUUCAGUACUUGCUGCACAAUCCAAGCUCCUCAGUACUCGAUGCACAAUCCAAGCCCUGCAAGCUACAUUGGUAUUUGUUAUGGGUUGCCAUAAAAGGGAAUUUUCAUUUUUAAAGGUCCGUAUGUACGAAUCUAUAAAUGAGUUGCAAAACUUCCACAAAUAUCAAAUCAAACCACAGAUUAGUGGCAGCAUGUAUGUACCAAAUUGUGGCACAUCCCAUUUCAGCUCAUAAAUCGUCAAAUAAAAAAUCUAAAAUACGCAUUCAUAUCAUACAAGUUGGAAGGAUGAACCAAUAUUUUGCAAAAGCACAAAACUUUAUUAACAUCCCAACAAACCCAAAGGAUAAAAACAGAUAAUCAAAUCAAUCAUGAAAUACAGAAUUACAGACAGAAUACGCACAUAUAAGGAUGAAAUGCAACAAUUAAGACCACUCGCGCCACCCAUUUCUCUGUAAUUGAUCUUUCGCUUUUUCAUUGUCAAUCCAACAUACUUUUAAAUCUUUACCAAUCAAAUUUUACGUCUCCAAUUCAACCGGGCAUUUCGAGGGGAUGCCUCUGACGCAGCCUCCUUCACAUCUGCCACCAAAGCCAAACAUCAAACCUCAAUUAAUUCACAAACCCAGAAACCAACCCAACCCAAAUUACAUAGGGCAGAUAGAUAAAGAAGCAGGAUGAAGCAAAAUGAUAAUAAUUGGUCAAACAGAACCCAACAUGCACAAAAGCUUCAAAUGUCCAAAGCUCCAAAAACAAAACAUAAUAAUAAUAACCCGAAUUGGGCAAACCAAGUUCUACUCAGUAGUGGGUGGCUCUUGUGGGGAAGAAGAUGAAGCUUCAUCUGCAUAAGAGACCAAUGUACACAGUGGGCUUGCGUUUCACGUCCCAUGGCUGCGUUUUGCGAGGCCGAGUCUUCCUGUGAUGCGCAGUGGCCUUCUUCUGUGGCCUCGACGAACACUCAAUCAUCAACCCAGUACCUCCACCAACUGAGCCGCGCAAUGGGGAUGUCUUUGGGACCCCAAACGACUCGAUCGCAGAUGGGUUCUUCACGGCCACACCCAUAGCCACCAAUUGAGGCCCCAACACAGCUUCAGUUCUCACAGUGAGAAAAAGACGAUGGAAUUGGGUUUUCCUUCUCUCAGCGACUCCGACGAAGAGGAGAGAAUAGCGCUGGAGGGCAAAACGGCUAAUUCACUGCUCAUAAGUCAACUCAAGGAAGCAGACCAUCACUUAAGCGGGGGCAAAACCGUCACUUCGCUAUUCCCAAGCUACAGUCCAGGAACAAUGACUCUGGGAUCAGUUUUAGUAUAUAUAUAAUUUAUAAAUAAAUAAAAAGAACUUGUGUAUUUUGUUUCUUUGUUUGUUAAAAAAUAAUGGGAGAUAUUAUUGGCACCCCAUUAUUUGCUCUUUGCACCCCAUAUUAAUUUUAAACAUGAAUAAUUUAUUUAACCUUCGUACAUAAUUACCGUUAAGGACAAAAAGCAUUUAUAAUAAAAAUUAAAUUUGCUCACUACACCCCAUGUAUGUUCCUGCAACUCUAGUUAGAAUUUUUUUCUUAAACCAUCAUGUUCCUACAAUCCUAAUGAGCUUUAUACGCUUAUAUUGGUGAAAAAUAUAUUGUAUUUAUUCAUGAAGGGUGAGAUUGAAGUUAGAGAGGCUUCGAAUGAGUUAUGAGUUUAUUUUUUGGCCUUUUUCAAGCUUGGGAUUUCUUGAUGGUUCGCUAGUUGCGUUUAGCAAACCAGUACCGAACGCGAUAGGUAAAUUCGGUGGGAUGCCACCGAAACAUUGCACCUAUUUUGGUUGCGUUUGACUGGCCGUUAACUUCAGAUGCAGUGGAGAUCCACCAUAAUAUAAACGGUGUUCGGUGGUUUAUUACAGAAUUUUUACCUACAAUUCAGUGGCAACGAACCGAAAUAUAUUUAUUUUUUCAGUAACUUAUUGUCGACCACAAAUUUAAUAUAAGCUAUUUUGACCUUACUCCCAUUGAAGGAACAAAAACAAGAUGACGCCCUUAAAAUAGAUGACACAUCAUCAAAUGUGAUGGUCAUCUCACUAAAAGGCAUGUGAAAGAUGUUCGUUUCAAGAUGCCAUCUCUCAAUAAAGGUAGAUAUAACAAUCUUAUCUGCAUUCCGAUAAGAACACUAAAUAAGUUGCUCCAAUCCAUACCUCUAAAUGUACCAUUUGAAUAUACCAUUAUUUGGAUUAGCCCUCCAAUUUCACUAAUGAAGGAUAGAUGUCUUCGACAUGCACCUAAGGUGCUCACAUUCCUAGUAAAAAACAAUAUUAAGUACAAACUCAAUAACGAAUUCAGUAGAUGAUCACUGAAACAAGAAACGAAUUCACGGAAACAAAAAAUGAAUUCAGUUGACUACUACUGAAAAACAUAAACAUAUUCAAUAGACUGUCACUAAAAAACUGAAACAGAUUAUGUGAACUACUAUUGAAAAACGUAAACACAUUCGGUGGGUAGCUACUGAAAAUAGAAAACAAAUUCGAUGGACUACCGUUGAACAAGGUAACGAUUUUAGUGGGGUUUACACAGGUAAGUUAGGGAAUGGGGUUCAUGAGGGCAAUCUAGGAAGAAAAAUGAGGUGUAUUGAGUAAUUUUAAAAUUUCCUAAAAUUCAGUGGGGUGUAAGGAGAAUAUGAGGUGGAAAGAGCAAAUGUUAGAGUGCCAAUAAAAUCAUCCAAAAAUAAUAUAUGGUUUAAUGGGUUGUCCUGUUAAGGGAAAGCUUGGAGGCAAUAAUUUAAACUUUUGGAAAAACAAUAAUCCCAAAUGUAAGAACAAUUCAUCCACUAAUAGCUUGCAAAAUUAUAAUUUAAAUGGAAAAACAAAAAACAAAUGCACUAGUAAUAAGUUAAUGUAUCUACUAAACUUAAUUACAUGGAGGCAAUCUAAUGGAUCACUAGUGAUUUUUUAGUCAAAACAACCUAGUUAUAUAUAAUUACUGAAAAAAAUAAUCUCAUUUUUCACGGCCCAAGAACGGGCAAGGGUCCUUCAAUAAGUUAAACAUGUUUACAAGGUGUCACCAAAGCACAAAACGGUCCAUAAGCAAACGAACUGUGGCCUCUGAAAGACUAGAGGAAUCCAAGUCCCUCUGAAUCUGAACCAUUCUGCUGCUCUCUUUUCUUGCUUCUUUCAACACUUGCUGUUGUUCUUCAACCUCAUCAUCACCUUCUCCUUGUUUUCCCUUUGAUGAAAACACCAGUCGCUUCUUAGCCCCUACCUUGUCUUUCAGCUUUGCCAACUCGCUCAUCCAAACCUCCACCACUGCAGACAUGCUUGAACUUGAAAACAUGAAAACUGGCUUGGUCUUGACUCUUUGAGUUUGAUCAAGGAUGAUGGGGAGAGCUGGCUAUUAUGCUUGUUGGGUUAUAUAGAAGAGAGAGAGAGAGAGAGAGAGAGAGAGAGAGAGGGCCUUGCCCUUCAUGUGGCUUGGAUUGGAUGAAAAAUCAGUGUGUCACAGACAGCCGUUGGUUAUAGGCUCGCACACAGGAUUUAGUUUUAGGAAUAUUCCAGAGAGAGAGAGAGAGAGAGAGAGAGAGAGAGAGAGUACAAAGUGGGGUAUGAGUUUUGUUGAGUGAAUGAAAAGCUUCCCAGUGGGCGCACGGAACUCUCUUCUUUAGAUUGUGGGCGACUUGGCAUAUUACUAUUCAUCAAUAGUAUCCAUUGCAUCUUAGUUUUUCUUUUGUCUUAUUCCAACAUUGCAAAUCUCUCUUCCGGGUCAACCACCUCUUCAUCAUCAUCUUCAGUAAAAGUAGCCAUCUUCAUUAUCUUCACAGCUGAAGUAGUCAUGUUCCGAGUCUUGCUCAUCUUCACAUAGAUCAACACCUGAUUCAGACUCAUCGGAUUCAGACCUGUCAUUAGCAUCUUCCAAGUCAUCGGAUUCAGACUCACCAUCUUCCGUAAAUAUAGACAGGUCGUCAUCAUCCUGUGUCAUUACCAGGUGGACCCCGAAGCUAUUAAAACGCAGCGAAUCUUGUGUCAAAUUCUGAAAAUUAACUUGACACGCAAAAGGCGACUGCGGCCAGGUAAUCUGAUCAUCCCGGUAAAACAUUUCUCUGAAUCGAAUAUAGCACAGCCACACAUGACCUGACCCUAUCUUUCUGAAAUGGUAAUCGAACUGAAUAUAAUGAGGUACCACUUCUGGUUGAUUGACGGAAAUUUUUGUUAGAAAACCAUGGUAACGUCGUCUUUUAUUUUGCGGGUUUUCAACAGCAGCAUAUAGAGCCAAUCCUUGGUUCUGGCAUUUGAAGUUUGGAGGGAUUUCAAUCAAAAGUUCACAUGCUUCAUCACGCUCCUUCACAUCGUUAUGACAGCUGAACAACGUCGAGAGAGCUUCAAAACUUGCUGGAAAUACAACCUG